rnacentral:rRNA from 1 species
GACGUAGGAGGCGAGCGUUAUCCGGAUUUACUGGGCGUAAAGGGCAAGUAGGCGGCAGCGAAAGUUGUGCGUGAAAUCUCCCGGCUCAACUGGGAGGGAGCGUGCAAAACUAGGCUGCUAGAGGGCAGAAGAGGGGAGCAGAAUUCCUGGUGUAGCGGUGGAAUGCUCAGAUACCAGGAGGAAUACCAGUGGCGAAGGCGGCUCUCUGGUCUGAACCUGACGCUGAGAAGCGAAAGCUAGGGGAGCGAACGGG